rnacentral:lncRNA from 1 species
GGCUUAUAAAUACAAUAUAUAAAUAUAUAUUUACAUAUACUCAUAUAUCCAGAAACUUUGGCUGUAGCUGUUUUAAAGACAAAAUAUCCAUCUAGUUUAGUGAUGGAAAAAGAAUGGCCAGUAGCCAUAUCUUCGAUGACAUCUCGAUUUAAGAGAGAUUGUGCCGAAAAACCAGCCCAUUUCAUUAAAUAUUAUGUUGUAUUAAACACCUAUUUUUCGUUUUUUUGUAAGAUUUGUUUAAUUUUAUUAAAAAUUAUUACAGCAUAUAAUAAAUACAUAUUUUUUAUGCAUAAGAACUUUAUUUAUACGAAACAUGGUAUAUUGUUUUGUAGUAGACUUCUAUGAAAAUGAGCGGGCGUAUAAAUUUUUUAUGAGAAAAGAAGGGCGCAGAUACAGAAAGUUUGGAAACCACUGCAUUAUGAUGAAUAUGACAAAAAUUGUUAUUACAUAAAAGUAUUUUUUACAAAAGCUACACAGUUUAUUACAGGAUGUUUUCUAGAAGGCAUUUUUGUAAUUCACAAUUAGUUUUUGACGAACUCAAGCA